CAUGAGGUUUCGAUUCGAGGCAAUCUUGCCCUAAUCAUCAGAGCCCUAUCUAUAAAAUAAUAGGAGGCCAAGUCUGGUGGAAUUUUGCAUCCAUUUUACAAAUGAUUCUAUGUUGGGAAAAAGGUUAUACAUUAAUGGUUAAUUUGGAAAAAAAUUAAUACUUGGGGGGCUAACUCUGGGAAUUUUAAUCUCCAUAGAUGAUGGCGAGGUUUGGGUCCCGUAUAAGUGCAUGUUGUCUGCACGUGGAUCCAAGUGACUCCUUGCAUUGUCCUACGCAACAUUUUUCUUGUUGUAUACAUGGACCAGCGUUGGGUUUUGGUCCACAUUGAUAAAAAUCCAAAACUUUAAGGGCUCAAUUGGGAAUUAGGGACAACUUUAGGACGGAAAAUUGUAAUUUACCCAUCAUUUAUUCGUAUGACAAUUGGGAUAACAAGCUUCAUUGUCAAGCAAGCAGAUGGUGGUUCUUGCAGUCUAGAUUUUGCACUGUUCUGUGAAGUUGUUCAAAAUAGACAUGAAGGAACAUCAGUAAUGACUUCCUCUUUCACAGAGAAACCGAGCUCUAAACCAAUACCAGAAAACCGAUUAACAACGGUAAUUCACGUCUACAUCCACCCAGCACCCGAAAACAACAAUCAACAGCCAUCAACUAACCCUACGGUCCCUACUUCCCAAAAGAGAAAAAAGGGGAAACGAAAAGCCGAGGGGGCAACUCCGGUAGUAUGUUUCACCUUGUCAACGCGACAGCAAGCCAACGACCUAUAAGUCCUACAGCGGAAGCAGUGACCAAUUUCCACAGCAACAUCUGCA
rnacentral:lncRNA from 1 species